rnacentral:rRNA from 1 species
CCCUUAGAUGUUCUGGGCCGCACGCGCGCUACACUGAUGCAUUCAACGAGUCUAAAACCUGCUCUGAUAGGGGUGGGUAAUCUUUUGAAUGUGCAUCGUGAUUGGGAUAGAUGAUUGCAAUUUUUCAUCUUCAACGAGUAAUGCCUAGUAAACGCAAGUCAUCAGCUUGCAUUGAUUACGUCCCUGCCCUUUGUACACACCGCCCGUCGCUCCUACCGAUUGAAUGAUCCGAUGAAUAUCAUGGAUUGAGGAUGCAAGCAGGUUCGCCUGUCUUCAUCUUCGAGAAGUGAAGUAAAUCUUAUCAUUUAGAGGAAGGAGAAGUCGUAACA